GGCUGACCACCACUAAGGCAGGGUCUCUUUCUCUGGAGGUUGUUCUUGUGUGGAAUUUUCUGCAAACCUUCAACACUGGGAAGUGAUGCUGCCCUUCCUUCCCUCGGUGCCUACAGCUGGCUCGUGUUGUCGCACUCGUAGCUGAUGCCCCUCGGCCGAUCAUGCAUUGCUGAUCACCAUUCAAGAGUCGCUGUCCAUUAUGAAGAGCUCCUGAGAAACCCUGCUCUGCCCUCCGCUAAUCUCACUCCUCCGAGCUGUGUGCCCCACGGUGGGGCAGAAUCACAGAAUGACCCGGGUUGGAAGGGACCUCAAGGAUCAUGUAGUUCCAACCCCGCUGCCUAGCAGGGCCACCAAACAUACACGGGGACGGGGCGGUCCGCUCGGUCCGGUGCUGCCCGGCUGCGGGUGAGCGGUGCUCGGACGCGCCUCGUCCUCGGAGAUGGUGUCAGCUCUCCGGGUUUAACGUUUUGAUAAGCAAAAUGGGGCGAAGAAAGGAAAAUUCCCGAGUAUACAGCUGUGUUUGGAAAUACACUGACUGGUGCCGUUUCCUUCUGACCGCCGUGCGACUGCUUUAUUUCAACAUACAGCCGUGCUUAUUUGUUGCAUUUUAUAGACACCUUCCUAUUGCCUGCGGUUAUUUUUGCUAUCGUGGAAUCGGAUCUCAAGAAACUUAAAUUGACGGGGUUACUUGUUAAUUCUCUGAGUUGAGUAUUUCUGUGCACGUUUAUGACAGUGCCAGUAGCUGUUAUUCUGAAAAGCUGUGACUCAGUGGAGUCAGAGUGUUUUGUUCUGAUGUCUUUAAUAGUAAUAUUUCACGAGGCUUUCCUAAGUCAACCAGAAAUGUUUUGUUUCUGGCUACCUUUGGCUAUUAUCACUUCUUGUGAUGCCAUCCUCUAAACCUCGCUUUGUUUUAGCGCUCUAACUGCAUUCUUAAUUGGGAACUAUUCCCUGCAGUUCCGUGUAGUGUCUGCAGGGCUAAGGGGGCUCGGUCCGUGUUAGAAGUAAAGACUCAUCAUCUUUUGAAAGGAGAAUAUCAAAUGACAUAAUUGAUAUCUUGGUAUUGAUGCAUUAAGUGCAAAAAUGACUUAGGUCAAUAAGUGUGGGUUCAGAACUGUAAUGCUCUCAAAGAGUUCCUCCUUUUGCAUAGAAUGACUCGAAAUGCCAUUUCUAUCAGUCAGUGAAAGCUUAGUUUAAUUGGCCCUAGUCAAGAUGCUGUAUUGUUCUGAGUAAUCUGAAUUAAACAUUGGUUUGACUACAUACAUGGCUUUAUCUUCCUUGAAGACAUAGGGUGCUCAGAGUCAGACAGUAACACCAGCUUUGAAGUUAAGUUAUUCAUAGCUCAGGGAUUGAUUCUGACAUUAGCACUGUUUCCCUAUACUUUUUCCUGCAAAUGCAUCGCACCAACCCAUUCUUUCAU